GGGGCUGAUUUUGGAUUCGACGAGAUUAGCAAAGCUCGAAGUGCACGCCGAGGUGCGGUAGGCCUCGUUAAUAAACCGCAAAAUAAUAGUCGCAAACGACGAACAAUACGCACUAGCAGCUUAAUAACCUGCUCAGAGCCUUCUCUCCCUAGCUUCCGCUCGUAAGACGGGGAUUAAGAGGAGUCAAACCCAAACGAGAUCGUGUGGACGCCUCCGCUUGUGGAUCGAAGCACUAAAUUGAAUCAAGCUAGUUACAUCAGCGCCUGUCUGUUGGCAGUGAUGUAAUGAAUUUAAAAACAGACUAAGCGUGUAGUACUGACAGUAGAGGAAUUUCGGACGGGGGUUCAACUCCCCCCAGCUCCACCA
rnacentral:tmRNA from 1 species